rnacentral:rRNA from 1 species
AUUGAACGCUGGCGGCAGGCCUAACACAUGCAAGUCGAACGAGUGGCGGACGGGUUAGUAAAGUCUGGGAAACUGCCAGAUGGAGGGGGAUAACUACUGGAAAAAGUAGCUAAUACCGCAUACCAUCGGAUACACCCAGAUGGGAUUAGCUAGGAGGUGUGGUAACGGCUCACCUAGGCGACGAUCCCUAGCUGGUCUGAGAGGAGGACCAGCCACACUGGAACUGAGCCACGGUCCAGACUCCUACGGGAGGCAGCAGUGGGGAAUAUUGCACAAUGGGCGCAAGCCUGAUGCAGCCAUGCCGCGUGUAUGAAGAAGGCCUUCGGGUUGUAAAGUACUUUCAGCGAGGAGGCGUUACCCGCAGAAGAAGCACCGGCUAACUCCGUGCCAGCAGCCGCGGUAAUUC